GUGUUUGGAAUUGGAUCCAGUUGUAAGGAUUUACUCCGCUGUUUUUGCUACAAGAUUCAGCAGCUGUUCCGUGUGGGGGGGCCCGGUUCCUGCUGUUCCCAGGCACCUGCUGGCAGGACAAAGCACCUUUCCCCAGGUGUGGAGAGCCAUGCCUGUAAGGCCUGUGCCGGGUGGGGCUGCUGUUGAAAUGAGGUUGGGGGGGGUCCCCUCAGGAUGAUAGAAGAAUUGUCCUGAGUUGGAGGCCAGGGAGGCAGGCAGAAAAGAGAAGAGACGGGGGCAGGCUACAGAAUAAAAUUGUAAAUGUUACUCAAUUCUGAAAGAAUAGGUCAGAACAACCCCCCUUUUAAAAAACGUACUUUUAUAACAAGAUCAUCUAAGGGUGAACAGGAAUCCGAUGGUUUGCCUCUAAGGCUCACAAAGUAACCUGUAAAAAUAGUGACCAUUCAACUGUUUUAACUCAGUCUGUGCCAUCUACAGAAUUCCUUUAAAGCCAAAUAG
rnacentral:lncRNA from 1 species